rnacentral:rRNA from 1 species
ACGGAGGGUGCAAGCGUUAUCCGGAUUUACUGGGUUUAAAGGGUGCGCAGGCGGAUAUGUAAGUCAGUGGUGAAAUCUCUAGGCUUAACCUGGAAAUUGCCGUUGAUACUAUAUAUCUUGAAUGCUGUGGAGGUAAGCGGAAUAUGUCAUGUAGCGGUGAAAUGCUUAGAGAUGACAUAGAACACCUAUUGCGAAGGCAGCUUACUACGCGGUCAUUGACACUGAGGCACGAAAGCGUGGGGAGCAAACAGGA